UACGGAGGGUGCGAGCGUUAAUCGGAAUUACUGGGCGUAAAGGGUGUGUAGGUGGUUAAUUAAGUCAUUUGUGAAAUACCCGGGCUUAACCUGGGGGUGUCGGAUGAUACUGAUUGACUUGAGUACAGGAGAGGGCAGUGGAAUUCUCGGUGUAGCGGUGAAAUGCGUAGAUAUCGGGAGGAACACCAGUGGCGAAGGCGGCUGUCUGGUCUGAUACUGACACUGAAACACGAAAGCGUGGGGAGCAAACAGG
rnacentral:rRNA from 1 species